UCCAGUCUGGAGCAUGGGCACUUCCAGCUGUGUCUGAGCGCCGGCAGAGGGGUCGUGCGUGGAUACGGAAAUUUCGGGCAUUGUUAGCAGAUGCUGCCAUCUCAAGGCAACACGAGGGUGAGACUAGAUGGAGAAAGGCAUGGACAGGGGCGAACCCUGAACCAAGCCGGCAUUAAGUAGCUGCAGACAAGAAACCAACAAAAUAAUGCCAAGGUGAGAAAAUAAAAUGCAGCUUCCGAUGAAUUGAGCAUACGUACAGUUAUAAAAAACAUGGAAACAGCGUGUGCAUUUGACCCUGCUGUCCUGUCACGAUUACUAAACACAUCACAAAGGACUAGACCUCCCCUUUCUUUUCUCCCCAUGUGUAUAAAAUGGGAAUCACAACACGCAUAUUUCUUGUGGUAGAGCUUGAGUCCUUUCGUUUGGGUGGACUUAGAGACUAAGUAUGGAAAGAGAAAAAGUGUAACUUGACAGCAGAGGAAACUGGCAGACAUCACCCUUACCACCUGAUCAAGGCUAGCGGCAUUGGUAAUUGUCAUGUUCACACCAGGUACCACAAGUACAAUACAACAAAACUAUUCUAUGAUGUCCUUCCCCAAAACCCCCAACUUCACUCAUAAAAAAAAAAAAAAAAAAAGAUCAGAUAUUGCAAAUUGAGGAACAUUGUAUAAAAUACCUGAUGAAUCCUCAUCAAAAGUGUUUGGAUCAUGAAAAACAAGAUAUGACAGAGCAAUUGUCAGAGAUGAGAGAAAACUAAACAUAAAAUGAUUAAAUGCAACUUGAUGCCCUGGAAUGGGAUGCUGCAAUACAAGGACGUUAGUUGGGGGGAAAAAUGUAGUAAAAUCAAAAUCGUUUGUAAGGUAAACAAUAUUAUACCAAUGUUAAUUUCUUAGCUUUGACAAAUGUAACAUAUAUCUGUAAAAUAUUAACAUGAGGUGAAACUGGGUGGAAGUUACAUGGGAACUCUAUAUCUGCCACUUUACACUAAAUCUAAAAUUGUUUAAAAAUAAAAAAAAUUUAAAAAGAACAAGGAGGGACUUCUAGCUUGACAAGAUGAGUAGUUAUGUGGACUCAUUCCCUAGUGAAACUGGUGAAGAAAGUUUUAAAACAAGUAAGCAAGGGCACCUGGGUGGCUCAAUCGUUAGGCGUCUGCCUUCGGCUCGGGUCAUGAUCCCAGGGUCCUGGGAUCGAGCCCCGCAUCGGG